rnacentral:rRNA from 1 species
UACGAAGGGGGCUAGCGUUGCUCGGAAUCACUGGGCGUAAAGCGCACGUAGGCGGAUCUUUAAGUCAGGGGCGAAAUCCUGGAGCUCAACUCCAGAACUGCCUUUGAUACUGGGGAUCUUGAGUCCGGAAGAGGUGAGUGGAACUCCGAGUGUAGAGGUGAAAUUCGUAGAUAUUCGGAAGAACACCAGUGGCGAAGGCGGCUCACUGGUCCGGUACUGACGCUGAGGUGCGAAAGCGUGGGGAGCAAACAGG